GCAAGUCGAACGGUAAGGUCCGGCUUGAUGGAUACACGAGUGGCGCACGGGUGAGUAACGCGUACACGACCUACCUUUAAGUUUGGGAUAGCCCUGGGAAACUGGGAUUAAUACCGAAUGUGAUAGUAGUUUUACAUUACUAUUAAAGAUCAGUCGCUUAGAGAUGGGUGUGCGUACUAUUAGCUAGUUGGUAAGGUAACGGCUUACCAAGGCGACGAUAGUUAGGGGGCGUGAGACCGUGAUC
rnacentral:rRNA from 1 species